CAGCCGCGGUAAUUCCAGCU
rnacentral:ncRNA from 2 species